CUGGGUCUCUUGGGAAGUACUUCUUGUGGCACCUACUCUCCACAUUGCUCCUUAGCUUUGGCUCUGUAUAGCCUCCUAGUGGUACUGUGGGAACAUCAGUUCUCCCUGGAUCCUUACAGAUUUGAGACUGGUUAAAAAUGGACAAGAAGAGAAAAUGCCAACCAAACCAAAAUACUGCUGGUGAUAAUGAAAUAUUCCAGGGAAUCUUGGACUCUUUCUUCAAGUGGCUGGCACUCAGCUCAAAGUCUCCAUAGCUCUGCACUCCCACAACAUGGACCAACAGGAGGCUGGAAGCAGACUGGAAGAUAUUAUUUUCUUCAUUUCUCCCAGCAUAAAAGAGUGAAAGCCCUAUAUGGAGAUGUGAGAAGAUAGUUUCCCUGAUGUGAAGAAAUAAUUUGGGGAUUCUGAGGAAAAAAAUAGACAGAGGCAAGGGUUUCUGAGUGAAGGGAUGUGCUGCUUUGGGGAGCUCUAAGAGGAGGAAGAUGCUCCCCAAUGAGAAGGAAUUGCAGCUAAAUUGCAGAUAUGGGGUUGUCUGAGUAGAGGGAGUAGCACACUGGGUCUUGAGGGAAUGAGAUCUGAUUGAGUGGUGUGGCAUUUUUAAUUACACUUAUUUCAACCACUUAUUGGAAAUUUCAGCAUUCAGAGCAUGAGCAGGGUAAGCUUGAAAAGCAAUCCAUCAUCUUAAACCUCAAGGUAGAAGCUGCUGACCAGGACUGAACUAUCUUGGCAGGACAAUGUGGAGAAGCACGUGCUAUCAAUACUCGGGCUGCAUAUAUUCUAAGGGAUAGAGGACACCAGUGGCUCCAAGUCUGCAAAAAGAACCAUAAGGGCAGAUAAACAUGCCCACAUAUAAAUCUAUCACAAUAAAUGGGGCUUAAUGUGGGGGCACAGAUCUACUCAAGAGUCAGUUGCAGCACUGCGGCUUACGGCAAUCAA